UACGUAGGCAGCAAGCGUUGUUCGGAGUUACUGGGCGUAAAGGGUGUGUAGGCGGUUGUUUUAAGUUUGGUGUGAAAUCUCCCGGCUCAACCGGGAGGGUGCGCCGAAUACUGAAUGACUAGAGUGUGGGAGAGGUGAGUGGAAUUCCUGGUGUAGCGGUGAAAUGCGUAGAUAUCAGGAGGAACACCGGUGGUGUAGACGGCUCACUGGACCAUAACUGACGCUGAGACACGAAAGCGUGGGUAGCAAAC
rnacentral:rRNA from 1 species